rnacentral:rRNA from 1 species
UGGAAGUAAAAAAUCGUAACAAGGUUUCCGUAGGUGAACCUGCGGAAGGAUCAUUACCGAGUUGAUUCGAGCUCCGGCUCGACUCUCCCACCCCAUGUGUACCUACCUCUGUUGCUUUGGCGGGCCGCGGUCCUCCGCACCGACCCCCGUUCGGGGGGCCGGCCAGCGCCCGCCAGAGGACCACAAAACUCCAGUCAGUAAACGUCGCAGUCUGAGAAACAAGUUAAUAAACUAAAACUUUCAACAACGGAUCUCUUGGUUCUGGCAUCGAUGAAGAACGCAGCGAAAUGCGAUAAGUAAUGUGAAUUGCAGAAUUCAGUGAAUCAUCGAAUCUUUGAACGCACAUUGCGCCCCUUGGUAUUCCGAGGGGCAUGCCUGUUCGAGCGUCAUUUCAACCCUCAAGCUCUGCUUGGUAUUGGGCUCCGUCCUCUGUGGACGCGCCUCGAAGACCUCGGCGGUGGCGUCUUGCCUCAAGCGUAGUAGAAAACACCUCGCUUUGGAGCGCACGGCGUCGCCCGCCGGACGAACCUUUGAAUUUUUCUCAAGGUUGACCUCGGAUCAGGUAGGGAUACCCGCUGAACUUAAGCAUAUCA